CAGUAGCGUAUAUUAAAGUUGUUGCAGUUAAAAUGCUCGUAGUUGAAGUUCGGAUGCAGCAGAGCUUGGAAACGCUGUUAUGGUGCUUCCGUUGCUUUUGCUUGUCCACAGUGCGUUGCAAGUACGUAUGUGCUUGUGCGUGCAUUUUACUUUGAGAAACAUAGGGUGUUCCACGCAUGUUACGGCAUGAAUAUUCCAGCAUGGGAUAAUCUGGUACGACUUCCAAUCUGCCAUUUUGGUUCGUAGGUUGGAAGUAAUGAUUAAUAGGGACUGUCGGGGGCAUUGGUAUUUGACUGUCAGAGGUGAAAUUCUUAGAUUCGUUGAGGACCAACCACUGCGAAAGCAUUUGCCAAGGAUGUUUUCAUUAA
rnacentral:rRNA from 1 species